rnacentral:rRNA from 1 species
UAAGUGAAGAGUUUGAUCCUGGCUCAGAGUGAACGCUGGCGGUAGGCCUAACACAUGCAAGUCGAACGGCAGCACAGGAGAGCUUGCUCUCUGGGUGGCGAGUGGCGGACGGGUGAGGAAUA